rnacentral:lncRNA from 10 species
GAGAAAACUCAAAAAGAAAUGUUUUAAGAAUAAUGACCUUUUCUUGUUAUUGUUUAAAAAAAAUCAUGCUCAUUAGAAACAAAUUCAAUGAUAAAUACCAGAGACUAGGAAGGGUGUGUCAGUGGGGAGAAGGACAGAGAGGUUGGUUAAUGGAUACAAACACACAGUAAGACAGAAAGAAUAAGGUUCAAUAGCAGAGGAGGGUGACUAGUUAGCAACAAUGUAGGGUGUAUUUCAAAAUAGCUACAAGAAAGGUCUUGAAAUAUCCCCAGAAUACAGAAAUAAAUACUUGAGGUGAUGGAUACCCCAAAUACCCUGACUUGGUCACUCCACAUUCCAUGCACCUAACAAAAUAUUACAUGUAUUAAGCCGUUCUCACAUUGCUAUAAGGAAAUACCUGAGAUGGGGUAAUUUUUAAGGAAAAGAGCUUUAAUUGGCUCACAGUUCUGCAGGCUGUACAGGAAGCAUGGCAGCAUCUGCUUCUGGGGAGGCCUCAGGGAGCUUCUAGUCAUGGCAGAAGGUGAAUGAGAGCCGGCGUCUUAUGUGACAGGAGCAGGACCAAGAGCAAGGGGGAAGUGCCACAUACUUUUGAACAACCAGCUCUCAUGAGAACUCACUCACUAUAAUGAGGGCAGUACACGGGGGAAAUCCACCCCAAUAAUCAAAUCACUUCCACCAAGACCCACCUCCAACACCGGGGAUUACAAUAGAUUUGGGCGAGGACACAGAUCCAAACCAUAUCAUUAUAUGUACCUCACAAAUAUGUAUGAAUAUUAUGCAUCAAUGAAAAAAACAAAUUCAAGCAAUAUAAAAAGGACCAAAUGAUCCCUUCAAAGUCAAGGGGAGAAAAGGGUAGACAAAGAGUGAUUAUUCAAGGUUAUUGGAUUUUGAUAUGACUGCAUGUUUCAAGUUUUACUUCCUGCUCUGAAAGAUGAGGGAAGUGCCAGCGUUCCCUCACCUCCUUUUCCGAUUUGGUGAUGACAUCAUGAUUUACACCGGCCAUGUUUAUAAGAGUUACUCUCUGUUUUAUAACACAAUUUCACUAGUUACUGGGGUCUUAAUUCCAAAAUAGAAUGGAUUCUGUGUUCACUGUCAUUCGUUUUCAGCACAGUUCCUUGUUCCUAAGAUCUACAGUUUGAUUCCUCAGUGUUCUGUCAAAAACGGCUUUUAGGAACUGUCCGCCCUGAGUGCCCACACGUGUAAAGCCAUCUGUGUGUGGUCUUUAUACGUGCCAGGGUCUGCUGAUCCACAUUUCCUUUCCCCCAAACUGUAGAUUGUGGCCACCAUCCUCGGGUGCUGAAUGCUGUGGGGGAAUUUGUGCUUUGGUUUCCUUUGGCUUUUUGGUUGAUAGGAUUCUGCCUUUGUCACUGUGUUCAGAAGCUAACCAUAGUUAUGCUUCAGCAUGGGUCACUCUGUCUAUGUUUCUCUUUCUGGGAUACAACGUGCUCAGUUGAAUUGGAAGUCCAUGUCCUCCUUCUGAAAAGUCAGCUUCCCAUGGUUCCUUGAAUGCCUUUUCAGUUUCAUCCAUUCUGUUCUCUUCUUGGAAAAACCAGUUGCCCUUUGCCUGCCAUUUACAUCUUCUUUACGAUCAAUCUUGCAUGUUUUUUCAUGGUAAGGAAGACUUUAUUCAGGGCCAUUGACAUAGUUAUAGGGUACCACUGCAAUGGGGUCUCAGAGUUGGGGAGAGAGAUUGCGUAGAAUUUAUGCAAUUAUAUAGGAAUUUAUAGCCAUGAAGAGUGUGGGGGUCAGUGGAUAGAAAAUUACUAAGAAGAAGGCCGGGCACGGUGGCUCAUACCUGUAAUCCUAGCACUCUGAGAGGCCGAGGCAGGCAGAUUGCCCUGAGCUCAGGAGUUCAAGACCAGCCUGGGCAACAUGGCAAAACCCAGUCUCUACUAAAAAUAUAAAAAAUCAGCUGGGCACCGGGUGGGCACAGUGGCUCAUGCCUGUAAUCCUAGCACUUUGGGAGGCCGAGGUGGGCAGAUCACAAAGUCAGGAGUUCAAGACCAGCCUGGCCAACAUGGUCUAGAGACUAUUUUUAGUCUCUACUAAAAAUACAAAAAAUUAGAUGGGCGUGGUGGCGAGCACCUGUAAUCCCAGCUACUCGGCAGGCUGAGGCAGGAGAAUUGCUUGAACCCAAGAGGCAGAAGUUGCAGUGAGCUGAGAUUGCGCCAUUGCACUCCAGCCUUGGCGACAGAGCAAGACUCCGUCUUGAGGAAAAAAAAAAUUAGCUGGGUAUGGCAACACACACCUAUGGUCCCAGCCACUUAGGAGGCUGAGGCACAAGAAUCACUUGAACUCAGGAGGCAGAAGUUGCAGUGAGCCAAGAUCGUGCCACUGCACUCCAGCCUGGGUGACAGAGGGAGGCUCUGUCUCAAAAAAAUAAUAAUAAAAUAAAAAUAAAAAAAUUACUGAGAGGAAACAUAAGAGUUAAGGGAGAUUCUGGCUGAACUGACCUAACAGAAUUCUUGCUGAAGACAGGCUAGGGUAAUCAGACAUCACCUGGGGGAUGAUGGCAACUGAGCAACCUGAUCAGAUAUUGAGGAUGGGGGUGGGGAGGUGGGUUCUUGCUAAACUGACUUACAAAUGUUCUUUGCUAAAACUGGAUUUCACAAGGAAGUGCACAGACGGGCCGAGGGGAAGAUUUAGAAGCCUGACUAAAGUUUGGUCAAGCAAAGAAUCUUUUGUUAGUCUCCACCUCCCUUGUUCAAGGGAAAAAAGAGGCAUUCUUCUUUCUUUUGAACAAUAUAAACUCAUUUUCUUGUUCAGUUGCCUAUUGUUCAUGAAGGACCGCUGAAUCAGCUGCUGGGAGUUGGUAGCAGAGGAGAUCUCCUGGAUGGUGUGAGCCAUCAGGCCUUUAAUGAGGAUAGUUUCAUUUCUAUAAAAAUAAAAGAAAAAUAAAUGUUAAUAGUAAGAACAAACCAUAAACUCGCUUUCUGAGUCCAUAGGGCAGCCAGUAAAGAUUUCUAGAUGCUGGCCCUGAAGUAUCUUCAGCUGUAGCAAGGCACUGGGAGGGCAGUAGCAAUCUAACGGAUUUUCCAGGUUUGCAGUUUGGAUGUCAUGAAGGUUGUCCAUACGUAAGCUGUUGUGGUUGGUGGUUCCUCCAAAGUUUAAUAGAAAGUUGCUCAGCUUUAGCUUACAGGGCAUUAGGAAAACAGCAGUGAUCCCAAGCCAGAAAGAUGAGAGAAAAUUGGAAACAUUAGUUUGGAAAGUCAUAGUCAGAUAUUGGGCGAAACUGGGAGAACUCAGGAUCCAGUCCAAACUACAUGUGGAUAAUAAAACCUCAAAAAAAUGAACAGGGCUAGAAUCAAAUAUUAGGUACACUAUAGUUUUCUUCUGAAACAAUUUUUCUCCCUAUAGUCACCCCCAUUUUUACCAAAGAUAAUCAAAGAAAGACUAAUUCAUUUGCAAAACAAUAAGUUUAAGUCUAUUAUUUACACAAAUGCAGCAAGAAUAGUGACUGACCACUUAGGCUCUUGUUCAGUCUGCUUUGCUAGAACUUUUGGUAAGGAACCUCAGAUUAGACUUCUGAAAGCCUCUUUAGGAUAUGAAGCCAAACCAAUGACCUACCAUCAUGCUUCAUCUGUUACAUUUAGAUUUGAGUGAAUUCCUCUCUUCUUGAGGUCCCUGAAUAUCCUGAGGUUUCUGUGCCUGCCAAGAAGGGAUAUUCCUUAUUUGCCUGUAAGGCUGGAACCCUCAAGCCAGUUUUAUUAAGAUGGGCAUGGCUUAUUGGCUCCAUAAAGUCAACCUUAGUUCCUUAAAGCUGUCUGGUCAUAUCUGAAAAUAUGGCAUUCCAGUCAAAGCCUUGUAAUAUAUCCAGUGCUUCCAAUUGUG